UCCUCAGGUUAAAAGCCCAGUUUUGGCUGGA
rnacentral:piRNA from 1 species